UGGUAACACACUUCUGACAUACCCCAGAAGUUGUAUAUAGAUAUCCUGUGUUUUGCCCGUGAGGAUAGCAUGAACUAGUGGGAAGCUCUAUAAAACAAAAAUAGAUAUGGAAUGAAAAUAUCUGAUAAGCAUCAUUAUCCAAAAAUUUUGGUACAGUUUUGAAUGUCCCGUCACAACCAGCUACACGGACCUAAAAAUGAUAGACAGAAUUGUACACAAACAUUGCCUAGUAAAUUGUGGAACUCUAAAAUAUUUUGAGGUGUUGCUGGGAACAUUCCUUGUCGCAAUCGCCUCAUUCUUUCUGCACACUGAAUGAAGGUAUAAUUAUUUGCAGCUUCUGGAAAACUAUUGAGUAAAAAAAUAGGAUAAGAACAUUAUAUCAGAAAGACAAAGAUAAAUAUGAAUACCAACUUCACAAUCGAUUCCAUGUAUAUACCACGAGGCACAUAUGAAUUAACAGUUUUUUUCAAAGCCAUUUCU